rnacentral:miRNA from 1 species
AUUGGGAUUCAGUUGGAGUUGG